rnacentral:rRNA from 1 species
GACGAACGCUGGCGGCGUGCCUAAUACAUGCAAGUAGGACGCAGUUGCGAACGGGUGAGUAACGCGUAUGUAACUGCCUAUUAGAGGGGGGUAACUAUUGGAGACGAUAGCUAAUACCGCAUACUAGUAGAUGGACCUACGGUGUAUUAGAUAGUAGGUAGGGUAAUGGCCUACCUAGGCAACGGUACAUAACCGACCUGGGAGGGUGAACGGCCACAAUUGGAAUGGGAACAGGGCCAGACUCCUUCUGGAGGGAGGAAUUGGGGAUCUUCGGCAAUGGGGGGAACGCUGACCGGGCAACGGCGCGGGAGGGGAAAAGGGUUUCGGAUCGGAAAGCUCUGUUGUUAAGGGAGCGGUACUUAACCAGAAAGGGACGGCUAACUACGUGCCAGCAGCCGCGGUAAUUC